UACGUAGGGUGCAAGCGUUGUCCGGAAUUAUUGGGCGUAAAGAGCUCGUAGGCGGUCUGUCGCGUCUGCUGUGAAAAUCCAGGGCUCAACCCUGGACCUGCAGUGGGUACAGGCAGACUAGAGUGCGGUAGGGGAGAUCGGAAUUCCUGGUGUAGCGGUGAAAUGCGCAGAUAUCAGGAGGAACACCGGUGGCGAAGGCGGAUCUCUGGGCCGUAACUGACGCUGAGGAGCGAAAGCAUGGGGAGCGAACAGG
rnacentral:rRNA from 1 species